AUUUUUCACUUACCAGUAAGAUUCUGAUGGCUAUCUUCUUGAGUAUAACUUGAAAUUAUUAUUCUUUUGAAAAAAACAAACUGAGAAAUCAUUUGUGGGGUAAAAAAGAUAUGGACAGCAAUAAGUACUUACCUCUAUAUUGAAUGAUAGGUCAGAUGUUGAAGUGGUCACUUCCAGUGUGGUUUUAUUUGGAACUGGGACCUCUAAGAAAGCAAUUAAGGUUAAAUGAGGUUGCUCUGAUCUGACAGUAUUAGUGCAUUUAUAAGAAGAGAAAUUAGGGAGCUAUCCAGCCCCAAUGAGAAAGAAGAGGUCACAUAAGCACACAGCAAGAAGGCUGCUGUCUACACGUCUAGAGAAGAGGCCUCAGAAAGAAGCCAGCCUUGCCAGCAAUUUGAUCUUGGACAUUUUAGCCUUGAGAACUGUGAAAAUAAAUUUCUGUUGUUUAAGUUA